rnacentral:rRNA from 1 species
CAGCAUCCACGGGAAUACAGAGGGUGCGAGCGUUAAUCGGAUUUACUGGGCGUAAAGCGUGCGUAGGCGGCUUUUUAAGUCGGAUGUGAAAUCCCUGAGCUUAACUUAGGAAUUGCAUUCGAUACUGGGAAGCUAGAGUAUGGGAGAGGAUGGUAGAAUUCCAGGUGUAGCGGUGAAAUGCGUAGAGAUCUGGAGGAAUACCGAUGGCGAAGGCAGCCAUCUGGCCUAAUACUGACGCUGAGGUACGAAAGCAUGGGGAGCAAACAGGAUUAGAUACCCCCGUAGUCCCUGUCUCUUAUAC